AUACGGAGGGUGCAAGCGUUGUUCGGAAUCACUGGGCGUAAAGGGCGCGCAGGCGGUUUGGUAAGUCAGAUGUGAAAGCCCACGGCUCAACCGUGGAAGUGCAUUUGAAACUGCCAGACUUGAGUACCAGAGGGGAAAGUGGAAUUCCCGGUGUAGAGGUGAAAUUCGUAGAUAUCGGGAGGAAUACCGGUGGCGAAGGCGACUUUCUGGCUGGAUACUGACGCUGAGGCGCGAAAGCGUGGGUAGCGAACGGGAUUAGAAACCCCAGUAGUCC
rnacentral:rRNA from 1 species